AUACUUACCAGGCAGGGGGAUUCCUUGAUCACGAAGGUGGUUUUCCCAGGGUGAGGCUCAUCCAUUGUAUUCUGGGUGUGCUGACUCCUAUGAUUUCCCAAAAUGUGGGAAACUUGACUGCAUAACUUGUGGCAGUGGGGGACUGCGUUUUUGUUUUCCCUUA
rnacentral:snRNA from 1 species